GACGAACGCUGGCGGCGUGCUUAACACAUGCAAGUCGAACGGAAAGGCCCUGCUUUUGUGGGGUGCUCGAGUGGCGAACGGGUGAGUAACACGUGAGUAACCUGCCCUUGACUUUGGGAUGACUUCAGGAAACUGGGGCUAAUACCGGAUAGGAGCUCCUGCUGCAUGGUGGGGGUUGGAAAGUUUCGGCGGUUGGGGAUGGACUCGCGGCUUAUCAGCUUGUUGGUGGGGUAGUGGCUUACCAAGGCUUUGACGGGUAGCCGGCCUGAGAGGGUGACCGGCCACAUUGGGACUGAGAUACGGCCCAGACUCCUACGGGAGGCAGCGGUGGGGAAUAUUGCACAAUGGGCGGAAGCCUGAUGCAGCAACGCCGCGUGCGGGAUGACGGCCUUCGGGUUGUAAACCGCUUUCGCCUGUGCCGAAGCGUGAGUGACGGUAAUGGGUAAAGAAGCACCGGCUAACUACGUG
rnacentral:rRNA from 1 species